rnacentral:rRNA from 1 species
AUUGAACGCUGGCGGCAUGCCUUACACAUGCAAGUCGAACGGCAGCACGGGGCAACCUGGUGGCGAGUGGCGAACGGGUGAGUAAUGCAUCGGAACGUACCUUUCAGUGGGGGAUAACGUAGCGAAAGUUACGCUAAUAUCGCAUAUUCUGUGAGCAGGAAAGCAGGGGAUCGCAAGCACUUGCGCUGAUUGAGCGGCCGAUGUCAGAUUAGCUAGUUGGUGAGGUAAAGGCUAACCAAGGCGACGAUCUGUAGCGGGUCUGAGAGGAUGAUUCGCCACACUGGAACGGAGACACGGUCCAGACUCCUACGGGAGGCAGCAGUGGGGAAUUUUGGACAAUGGGGGCAACCCUGAUCCAGCCAUGCCGCGUGAGUGAAGAAGGCCUUCGGGUUGUAAAGCUCUUUCGGCCGGGAAGAAAUCGCACGGGCUAAUACCCUGUGUGGAUGACGGUACCGGAAUAAGAAGCACCGGCUAACUACGUGCCAGCAGCCGCCGUAAUAC